rnacentral:misc_RNA from 1 species
UUAAGUUCAGCGGGUAUCCCUACCUGAUUCGAGGUCAACCAUAGAAAGUUGGGGUUGGGUAGCAAGCACCACGACGGACCCAGAAGCGAGAAAAGUACUACGCUUAGAGCCAACGCGGCGCCGCAUCUAGUUUUAAGGGAUGCCCGGGAAGGCAAGCCCCAAGACCAGCGGAGCUGGAGAGGUUGUAAUGACGCUCGAAC